UGGACCAAUGAUGACAGCUGGUGGCGUAUGAGUCACGGAUAAUGAAUGUUACGUGUCUGAAACUGUGAGGUCCAA